AGGGGACGGCUUCCUUAAAAGCUUAUCUAUUGAAUGGAAAACACUCAUUAGUCAUUCCCCGGCCCUGCCCUCAUUCAAUCAUCCAAUAACUUGCUGCCCCAUAAAUAAAAAUAAAAUCUAAAGAAUUUCAUCGCACAGCAUAGCAGACGUCUCUCUUAACAAACCGCCUCCAUCGUCACCAUUUCCCUUCAUUUCCAUUCUAUCCUUCCUCCUCUCUGCUUUCUGAAUUCCACCCUUUUUCCCUGUUUCGUCAUCAAUCUGCAGAUCUCUUCCUUCCUCUCUUUCCCAUACGUGCGGGAACCCAGUUCCCCUGUUUUAUUUGAUCUCUGAGAAAGAAAGAAAGAAAGAAAGAAAGAAAAAAGUAAGAAAUGGAAAACCAGCUAGGAGAAACAUCAGAGAUUCAAACUCCCACUCAACAACACAUACACCGGUUUUCUUCUCAACACCAAUUCACCCUCCACUUUAUUUGACGAUCCCUGUCUUCCCCCAAUUGUAAGAGCUGUGAUUUCCUGUUUUAGUCCUUCCUAUCACCUUUUCGCCAUGGACUUGG
rnacentral:lncRNA from 1 species